rnacentral:rRNA from 1 species
UACGUAGGGGGCAAGCGUUGUCCGGAAUCAUUGGGCGUAAAGGGCUCGUAGGCGGCCAACUAAGUCCGGCGUGAAAUCCCCAGGCUUAACCUGGGAACUGCGUCGGAUACUGGAUGGCUUGAAUUCGGGAGAGGGAUGCAGAAUUCCAGGUGUAGCGGUGAAAUGCGUAGAUAUCUGGAGGAAUACCGGUGGCGAAGGCGGCAUCCUGGACCGACAUUGACGCUGAUGAGCGAAAGCUAGGGGAGCAAACGGG